rnacentral:lncRNA from 1 species
UUUAAUUUGAGAGAUCUGGAUCGAGUAGAUUAAUUCCUUGCACAGCCGCCCAUCUCAGGGCUGAAUCUUCAAACCAAUGCAUCAGAAAUUCCUCAAAUCUUCUUCAACGAGAUUAAUCACUCAAAUUGUCACAAACUGCAACAAAACACUAGAAAUAAAUAUGUGUAUAUAUAUAUAUAUAUAUAUGUUUGAUGGAAUAAUUAUAACGUUUGUUCUAUCCACUUUUUGAUAUAUAUAUAUAUAUAUAUAUAUAUAUAUAUAUAUAUAUAUAUAUAUAUAUAUAUAUUCCUUAUUCUCUCAAGUAUGAAUGCUACUAUAUAUUACUUAAUUAUUGUCUCAUUCAAAGGAAAAUAAAGGUUUAUAACAUCAUGAACCAUAUACCAAAGGAGCUAAAUAAAUAUAGUUUUCCUCAUGAACAAAUAUUCAUUAUUUAAAAACACCAGUUUCCGGCCGGCUCUUCUAAUAUUUUGCGUAAUCACAGAAUGAAUAUGGGGAUAAAUAAUAUUUCCGGCUCUUAAUGGAAACAGGAUCCAGCAGGUAGUUUGAAGGAAGGCCAAAUUAAGUCAUGUUUUUACUCACUGUAGCAGAGCAAUGG